CAAUAUAGCCCCCAAUUCAAAAUCAUCAGUACAGAGAAGAAUAUCAAUCGUGCAUAUAGGGAGGAAAAAGAACAUCAAUAUAAGGAAGAAUAAGAUUCAACGCAUCUUCGAGUUGUUUAUCUUGUGGUUUGAAGAUAUUUUACUUUCUAAGAUGCACAGUCUAAAUCUAAAUGAGAAUUAAAGAUUAGUUUUUGUUUUGGUUUUAAGCUUCUGAGUUGUUCUGUUUUUCCGUAACGGAUAAAAACAUGAAGUUUUUUUGAAGUUCAUCAUCUCAUCUAUGAUUGAAUAUGUUAGAAUUGGAAGAUGUUAGAUAGGGUGCUUUGAUGGCAGGGGUUGGUUGAAGAUGGGUGGGAAUUGGAAACCAGCAGUGCUGUUGGAAGCAAGUGAAGAAGUAAAUUUGAUGAAAGGCACCUCCGUAUCUUGAAUUCCAUCAAAGGCUUAGGAUUUUGAGUUGGGAUCCCCUGAUUUCGAUUCUCCUUGAAAAAGUUCAUGCAAAUUUUGAGUUGGGGCUAUACCGAUGGAGAUGGAGUUAUUAGGAUUAUUUAUAAAUAUUUUUAAUAUUAGAUUCAAGAUGAAGGUUAUAGAUUUAUUUGCUAAGAGAUUGUACGUGAUGGGGGCUAUAAGGAUAUAAUAGUAUAAUUAUAAUUAUUUUUAUUAUUUUUUUAAAUUAGAGGUUACAGUGAGAAAAUUGGGAGCUAUGUUUAAAAUUACUCAUAUAUGUAUUUCGAUUUAACAAACAUGUAUGAAAAGUUUCAAUACUUCUUUUGCUUUUUGCAAUGGAAAUAUUUUACUUA